AACGAACGCUGGCGGCAUGCCUAACACAUGCAAGUCGAACGAGACCUUCGGGUCUAGUGGCGCACGGGUGCGUAACGCGUGGGAACCUGCCCUUAGGUUCGGAAUAACUCCCCGAAAGGGGUGCUAAUACCGGAUAAUGUCUUCGGACCAAAGAUUUAUCGCCUUUGGAUGGGCCCGCGUUGGAUUAGCUAGUUGGUAGGGUAAAAGCCUACCAAGGCGACGAUCCAUAGCUGGUCUGAGAGGAUGAUCAGCCACCCUGGGACUGAGACACGGCCCAGACUCCUCGGGGAGGCAGCAGUGGGGAAGAUGGGACAAUGGGCGAAAGCCGGAUCCAGCAGGGCCGCGUGAGUGAGGAAGGCGUUAGGGUUGUAAAGCUCUUUUACCCGGGAUGAUAAUGCCGGUACCGGGAGAAUAAGCGCCGGCUACCUCCGU
rnacentral:rRNA from 1 species